GGUUACAUCAUACAAUAACCCCCUGCCUCCCAAGAUACAAUCUUUCUUUGUAGAGAGGGAGUGGGAGAGGGAGAAGCAG